AGCGAACGCUGGCGGCAGGCUUAACACAUGCAAGUCGAGCGGACCUUUCGGGGUCAGCGGCGGACGGGUGAGUAACGCGUGGGAACGUGCCUUCCGGUUCGGCAUAACUCUGGGACACUAGGGCUAAUACCGGAUACGCCCUUAUGGGGAAAGGUUUACUGCCUGAAUAUCGGCCCGCGUCUGAUUAGCUAGUUGGUGGGGUAACGGGCUACCAAGGCGACGAUCAGUAGCUGGUCUGAGAGGAUGGUCAGCCACACUGGGACUGAGACACGGCCCAGACUCCUACGGGAGGCAGCAGUGGGGAAUAUUGGACAAUGGGCGCAAGCCUGAUCCAGCCAUGCCGCGUGAGUGAUGAAGGCCUUAGGGUUGUAAAGCUCCUUUAUCCGGGACGAUAAUGACGGUACCUGAGGAAUAAGCCCCGGCUAACUUCGUG
rnacentral:rRNA from 1 species